AGGGGCAGAGAGAGGAGCCUCUUAGUAUUAAUGUACUAAAGGUUGGGCUUAUCCUGAGGCAUCAACUUGGAGGGGACUUAAUUAUAGCUCACUACAAACUUAAGGUAGGCCUUCUCUCUCUAGAGGGCAACGAAGCUAACCUGUGCCAGGGGCUUAGAGAAACAGCACCUAGAUGCAGUUUUAUAUAUGGUAAAUAUUUCCUAAAUGAAAAUUAAUCUAUUGUUUAUAUUUUUUCUAAGGGUCAACAGCAAAGGUUUGAGCCACUGAGACCUCUGGUUAUAAUUAGGAAGAUACAGGGGCACCAAAGUAGAUUUUAGAGAAGUAUUGAGCUCUGAACAGAGCUGUCAGUGAUUGGUUAGCUAAUUGGUUAGCCCACAGUUGAAGGCUUUCCUAUUAAGGAAAGCUGCCUCCUAUUAAGAAACACAAUGAUAACCUCAUGCUACUUAGUGGAGGAGAAGGGGGACAGCUUUGCUACUACAUAGGAUGAAUUCUAAAGCUGGAAGAGAUCAUCUAGUUCAAUCCUCUCAUUUUAUGAAGAAAAGUGAGAACCCUUGAAGUAGCCUGCUCAGUAUCAUAAAACCAAUCAUUAGCAUAGCCAACUCUGGAACCCAGGUCUCUGACGCCAAAUCUAGUAUUCUUAUUCCUAAUACCAGAUUGCCAGUGGCAGUUCUAGGUAACCAUUACUCCAAUCCUAUUACACACACAAGAAGGUAAAACUGACAAUAUAUUGUGCAGCAUUCAGGAUUUGAACAGGUACUUAUUUGAGAAGUAAACUCAGAGCUCCCUUUUUGCCUCAAAUGAAUUUCAUAUAAAAGUUGUCUUUAGAUAUUAUACUCAAACCAGGGGUUCUUAACUUUUUUUGAGGGGGGGAAAGGGAGAAUCUGAUGGACCCAUUCUCAGAAUAACAUUUUUAAAUAAUUAAGAAAAUGGUUAAUUUGUUAGAGGCUAAUUCAAGACGGAUUUUUUUCUUCCCAUCAAGUUUAUGUACAUUCUGCUAUAUCUAUCCACAGAUACCUUCUUUAUAGUUCUGUGGAUCCUGGUUAAGAACCCCUGACUUAAACAAAGAUACAGUCUUUGGCACAAGACUUUCAUUCCAAGAGGACCAUUACAGAAUUGGAGUAUCAGAAUUGGAAGUCACCUCUCUCCACUUCCUAGCAGAGUUGGGGAGUUACGGGAGUGGAAAGCUACAUGUAACUGCUGGGUUUUUUUUUUUUUUUUUGCUUUUUGCUUAAUUUUCCUGAAUUGCUUUCCUUUUCCUUUUUCUUAUUAUAAGGGACACCUCUUCAGGAGAUACAAGGAAGAGGAAGAAAUAUAGAUCAAGUGUGGAAUACUGACUUGAUACAUAACAAAGCUGAUCAUAUGUCUGGCCCAGAUGAAGAAAUAAGGGAGGGGACAGAAGAGUUGGUGCUUAAAGUCAGAAAACAGAGUCCCAGAGAGAAUGACUUCAUUGAAAUUGAACUGGACAGACAAAAACUGACCUAUCAGAACCUGAUGCAAGUGAGUUGUCGGGAAUUAGGAAUUAACCUGGAGCAAGUAACGAAGAUUAGAAAGCUACCCAACACACUGCUCAGAAAAGACAAAGAUGUUUCAAGACUACAGGAAUUUCAAGAACUAGAGCUGAUUCUAGUGGAUCAUGCCGUGACUGAAUCUACACCAUCACUGAUAGAGAAACCCUGCUACAAUUACAUUGCUGCAAAAAUGACUUACUAAGCCUAAACAUAAGAACCCGAGAACAAAUUAUCCUAAGUAUUGGCUAUAGAUUAAGAAAUCUGAUUCCACUUUCAGCUCCAACAUGUAAUAAUGCUUGGCUAGAUAUAUAGCUCCUCAUCUAUGACUUUUCUGUAACUUUAUAUAGCAAGUUGUGUGUGUGUGUAUAAAAAAUGAAAAUGAAUUGUUUUGUUGGGGAAAAAAUCUGAGUCUACAGUUCUCAAACCAGUACCUAAUAACAUACUCUACUCUGUUAAAGAGAAAUAUACAAAGUCAAAGAUUAAUUAGCAUUCGUUCACCAAUAAUUUAUUUUUCUUCUAUAAAGUACUAGAUGGGUUUCUUGAAAGAUGAUUACUUUCCAAUGGCUUGUUAUUUAGGCAGCAAUUUAAUCCCAAACCCUUACAUUGGCAUACUGAUCGGGAAGGGUCAGGGAGGACUGGGUGAGGCUAAUAGCCAUAAUACCUCACCUCACAGAUUGAGCCAGGAUAUAGCUACUUCAUUCCACAGUGGACAACUCUAGUUCCUAAACAACUAUGGAAUUAAAUUGACCCCUUUGCUUGAAGCCUGGCUACUCUAAUUUUCCUGCUUAGAUGCUUCAUUGAUACUUCUGAAUAUAACUGCAAAAUAAUUAAAGUACUAAACUAUAAAAAUGACAGCACAACAUAUAAUAAUCUCUCAAAAUGACAUGCUUGCCAAUAGUACCUUAGUUAUUCAAAUCUAAGUCUUAAAUAAAAGUACUUAACCCCAGUUGCUUUAUUCUAGCACCCUGCAGAAUACCUUCUUUAGUGGUUACUAGUUAAUAUUUUGCACAGUGUAUUUGAAGGCAAUUAAUAUAUGUUACUAAUGACAAUGAGCUUGGGAAAGCAUAUUCAUUUUGAAAAAUUAACUUAAAUCAAAUUAUUAAAAUGAACCUACUGCCAAAGAAAUCCUUUGUACAAAUUAUAGUUUAUAUUUGCUUCAGCCAAAUAUAAAAAAAACCUAAGAUUAGGUGUUUAUAAUUUUUAUACUACUGCUCUACUGUAUUAAUGUGGUUACAGCCGAUUUCUUCUAUACAGAAUGUCAUCAUGCAUUUUAUAGCGGUAAAUCUACAUUUUUAAGUAGAACACCAGGUCCAAAUGUAUAUUAAGGUAAAAUCUGAAAAUGAAUGUGAUUUUAUAAAUAUUAAGUGGAAAACAAAAUAGGAUGGGAAAUCUUUCAUGACUCUAUAUUUGUGAAUUAGAUAAAUGUUUGGCUUCUUUUUUCAUUAAUUAAAAUAAACUAACUUUAUACGUUACUGUCA